rnacentral:tRNA from 1 species
CAGGACCAGCGGGCCUUGAUCCCACAAAAACUAGUUAACAGCUAGUAGCCCAAACCAGCGGGCAUUAGUCCA